UGAAGAUUCUGCUGCUUAAAAAGGUUUGAAAACGUGACAGAUUAUUGUAUAUUAUGAAUUACAUAUAGUUGCAUGAUUUUACAACUCCAUUAUUUAUUUAUUUAUUUUUGCAGGCAGUGGGGAGCCAUGGAAAGUUUCUGAACAGAGAAGCACUUAUUGGGAACUGUCAGAGCUAUGCUUCAGGAGAUGAAUCUGGCAACAACGUUAAUAUUAAUGCCCUGUACAUCCUGAGUACAUGUUUCCAGAAAGAGGUGAUCCAGGAGGCUGCCAAGUGGCCUGCAGGUGACAUCCAGAGGGCAGAAAAUGCCCAUGCAGGUCCACGUGUGGGUCCUUAAGCCCCUUGAGGAAAAGGGAGGAGAAAAGGACAAAGAAGGCUCUCCCUUUCCCUUGGAUCCCCUUCUACUCCCACAUGCCUAGUGGGAGCCUCCCUCUUCUGCUUGAGCCUUCAGGACAGGUUCAGGACCCUGUCUCCUACCUGGCUGGGCCAGAAAUGAGGAACAUGUUGCAAGCCUUCCUCCACCUGACUUGCCAAGUCCAUACAGGCUGGGGCCUUAGAUCCAACAACUUAGAAAGGGUGCCCACACUCCUGUUCUUUAGAAGAAAGGGACGGCAGGAGUCUGAUCAUCUGUCCGAUGCCCACACAGUGGCUGUGCUGAGUGACGUGUUGUUUUGAGGAUGUCCCUACCCCCUGGUCUUGCCGUCGGUCUCCAGUACCCAGCGAAGCAAGCUGUGGGCUCUGAGGAGCUCACACCAGGGAGGAGCUGCCCUGGAGUGGAGCAACAGCAUGUCCUCUCCCCUGUGUGACUGCAGUGCUAUAAUAAUAAUAACAGAAAGCUGGCAUUUCUUGAGCUCUUACUGUGUGCCAGAGACACCGCUCUAAGUGCUUACACAUAUGUAUUCGUUUUCUGUAGUUGCUGUAACAAAUUAUCACAAACUUUAAACAUUG
rnacentral:lncRNA from 1 species